AGUGGAAACAAGCACCUGAAACACGAACAGUUCUUGAUUAUAAAUGUACAAGAUCAGUUAGCUACAUCUCUAUCCAAUGCUAAAAGUUCAGAGAACAGCAAAGCAAGUGGCACUACCACACUAAAAGUCAGCCAUUUUGAGAAAAACGUCACUUCCGGUCA
rnacentral:lncRNA from 1 species